CCUACGGGAGGCAGCAGUGAGGAAUAUUGGUCAAUGGGCGCGAGCCUGAACCAGCCAAGUAGCGUGAAGGAUGACUGCCCUACGGGUUGUAAACUUCUUUUAUAAAGGAAUAAAGUGAGGCAUGUGUGCCUUUUUGUAUGUACUUUAUGAAUAAGGAUCGGCUAACUCCGUGCCAGCAGCCGCGGUAAUACGGAGGAUCCGAGCGUUAUCCGGAUUUAUUGGGGUUAAAGGGAGCGUAGAUGGGUUGUUAAGUCAGUGGUGAGAGUUGGCGGCUCAACCGUAAAAUUGCAAUUGGUACUGGCAGUCUUGAGGACAGGUGAGGUGGGCGGAAUUCGUGGUGUAGCGGUGAGAUGCUUAG
rnacentral:rRNA from 1 species